UUUUUUGGCAUAGUUG
rnacentral:misc_RNA from 1 species